GUGGGGGCUGCUGCUGGGGACACUGCUGGGACGGCAUGCAGCGCUGUCGCAGGAGAUCCAGCGCCUGAGGGAAACCCAGCGACUGCUGGAGAACAACGGCUCAGCGCUGGCGGCGGCACUGGCGAUGCUGGAGGGGAACCAAACGCAGCUGAAGAAGCACGGUACGGAGACGGCGGCGCUGCUGGAGCUCCUCUCUGCCAACCAGAGCGCGACGCGGCUCGAGGUUUCGGGGACGAUGGUGUCGGUGUGGAGGGAGCGCAGCACCACACGCAGCGCUCUGCACCAGCUGCUGCAUGCCCGGGGGG